GCUUACGGCCACACUGCCUGGUUCACGCCCGCUCUCGUUUGAUCUCGGAAGCUAAGAUAGGUUGAGCCUGGUUAGUACUUGGAUGGGAGACGGCCUGGGAAUACCAGGUGCUGUAAGCU
ensembl:rRNA 5S_rRNA 5S ribosomal RNA